GAAGUAAGAAUAAGGAGACUUAACUACACAAAGUAAAAGUGGCUAUGAAAAAUGUUCCGUGUAAGAGGAGGUUCGCUAAACAGAAUAACUUGCAACAUUUCAUCGCCAUCUUGAAAUUGUAAAUGACAGAUAGUAAGAAAAGAUUGUAAAGGUUAGAAGAGUACACAGAGAGCAUAAAACAAGAGCGCCGCACAGAUGAAGAUAUAAUUGUGAAUAUAUUUUAUAUUUUUCUAGAGAAACAAAGAUAAUAAUAUUGAAAGUUGUUGAAAAAAAGAAGCAUGAUGAAACCUAAAACUGAUGGACGCAAUCAUUUUAAAUACUUGCAAGAUAAUUUGGAGUUGAUUACAUUUCCUUGUACAGGAUGGAGUUAUUCAACAGGAAAUGAAAUGUUUUUUGGUUUUCAAAAAAUGGAGAGUGAUUGUAGUGUAANAAAAAGAAUUGCUUUUUUGCAAAAUGGACAGGUUAAUAUUUAUAUAAAUAACGAAAUUCAUUCACUUUCAAAAUUU